rnacentral:rRNA from 1 species
AUUGAACGCUGGCGGCAUGCCUUACACAUGCAAGUCGAACGGUAACAGGUCUUCGGAUGCCGACGAGUGGCGAACGGGUGAGUAAUACAUCGGAACGUGCCUAGUAGUGGGGGAUAACUACUCGAAAGAGUGGCUAAUACCGCAUGAGAUCUACGGAUGAAAGCAGGGGAUCGCAAGACCUUGCGCUACUAGAGCGGCCGAUGGCAGAUUAGGUAGUUGGUGGGAUAAAAGCUUACCAAGCCGACGAUCUGUAGCUGGUCUGAGAGGACGAUCAGCCACACUGGGACUGAGACACGGCCCAGACUCCUACGGGAGGCAGCAGUGGGGAAUUUUGGACAAUGGGCGAAAGCCUGAUCCAGCAAUGCCGCGUGCAGGAUGAAGGCCUUCGGGUUGUAAACUGCUUUUGUACGGAACGAAAAGCCCCGGGUUAAUACCCUGGGGUCAUGACGGUAUCGUAAGAAUAAGCACCGGCUAACUACGUGCCAGCCGCCGCGGUAA